rnacentral:rRNA from 1 species
GACGAACCAUCCAAACGUUAUUCGGAAUUACUGGGCUUAAAGGGCUCGUAGGCGGCCAACUAAGUCAGACGUGAAAUCCCUCGGCUUAACCGGGGAACUGCGUCUGAUACUGGAUGGCUUGAGUUUGGGAGAGGGAUGCGGAAUUCCAGGUGUAGCGGUGAAAUGCGUAGAUAUCUGGAGGAACACCGGUGGCGAAGGCGGCAUCCUGGACCAACACUGACGCUGAGUGAGCGAAAGCCAGGGGAGCAAACGGG